GCUUCAGUGGAGGGACGCGAAUUCAAGGAGAAGGAGAAUUCAUCAAGUUUGAUAUAUAUAUAUUUUAUUAAUUAACAAUACAUGACGAUGCAACAGGAACCUUCUGUAUUGGAUUUCCAGACGAAUACAGUUGCUGACCCACUCCAAGUUCACUAUUCUCUGUUGAUCCACAAUAAUUUGCAUGCUAUACUUCUGACAGAGAAGAAAUGUUGAACUGCUUCACAGAGGGUGCAUCCUGUCUCAUCCAUCAGCAUAAACACAGCUCAAAGGAGGCUGCUUAUUACUGCCCUACAAAGACAAACUGAAGUUAACCGUGUUUUAAAGGCUGCAUUCUUAACAUCAAACCAGGGACAACAGAUGAAAAGAAGCCUUUUGGGCUACACCGGCACACAGUGCUUUUCUGUUGAUUAAUGAGCUGACUAAAAUGAA